GGGUGCUCGAGUGGCGAACGGGUGAGUAGCACGUGAGUAACCUGCCCUUGACUUUGGGAUAACUUCAGGAAACUGGGGCUAAUACCGGAUAGGAGCUCCUGCUGCAUGGUGGGGUUGGAAAGUUUCGGCGGUUGGGGAUGGACUCGCGGCUUAUCAGCUUGUUGGUGGGGUAGUGGCUUACCAAGGCUUUGACGGGUAGCCGGCCUGAGAGGGUGACCGGCCACAUUGGGACUGAGAUACGGCCCAG
rnacentral:rRNA from 1 species